UUGGAGGGCAAGUCUGGUGCCAGCAGCCGCGGUAAUUCCAGCUCCAAUAGCGUAUAUUAAAGUUGUUGCAGUUAAAAAGCUCGUAGUUGAAUUUCGGGGUCAGCAGGUUGGUCGUGCCACUGGUAUGCACUGGCUUCGCUGAUUCCUCCUUUCUGAAGAACUGUAAUGCCAUUAAUUUGGUGUUGCAGGGAAACAGGACUGUUACUUUGAAAAAAUUAGAGUGUUUAAAGCAGGCUUCGGCUUGAAUACAUUAGCAUGGAAUAAUGAAAUAGGACGUUCGAUCCUAUUUUAUUGGUUUCUAGGAUUGACGUAAUGAUUAAUAGGGAUAGUUGGGGGCAUUAGUAUUCAAUUGUCAGAGGUGAAGUUCUUGGAUUUAUUGAAGACUAACUACUGCGAAAGCAUUUGCCAAGGAUGUUUUCAUUAAUCAAGAACGAAAGUUAGGGGAUCGAAGACGAUCAGAUACCGUCGUAGUCUUAACCAUAAACUAUGCCGACUAGGGAUCGGAUGAUGUUAAUUUUUUAAUGACUCAUUCGGCGCCUUACGGAAAC
rnacentral:rRNA from 1 species